ACGCCGGGAGCCGGCCCGAGCCGCCAAGAUGUCGCAGCCCAAGAGAAGAAAGCUUGGGUCGGGGGGCGGCGGCGAAGGAGGGGAGGGAACUGAAGAGGAAGAUGGCGGAGAGCUGGAGGUGGCCCUGCCACGACCCCGGAGGACUAGGCGGGAGCGAGACCAGCUGUACUACCAGUGCUACUCGGAUGUAUCGGUCCACGAGGAGAUGAUUGCCGACCGCGUCCGCACCGAUGCCUACCGCCUGGGCAUUCUGCGGAACUGGGCAGCGCUGCGGGGCAAGACCGUGCUGGACGUGGGCGCGGGCACCGGCAUUCUCAGCAUCUUCUGUGCCCAGGCCGGGGCCCGGCGCGUGUACGCGGUGGAGGCCAGCGACAUCUGGCAACAGGCCCGGGAGGUGGUGCGGCUCAACGGGCUGGAGGACCGGGUGCACGUCCUGCCGGGGCCAGUGGAGACGGUGGAGUUGCCGGAGCAGGUGGAUGCCAUCGUGAGCGAGUGGAUGGGCUGCGGACUCCUGCACGAGUCCAUGCUGAGCUCUGUGCUCCACGCGCGGACCAAGUGGCUGAAGGAGGGCGGUCUUCUACUGCCGGCUUCCGCCGAGCUCUUCGUGGCGCCCAUCAGCGACCAGAUGCUGGAGUUGCGCCUAAGCUUCUGGAGCCAGAUGAAGCAGCUCUACGGUGUGGACAUGAGCUGCCUGGAGAGCUUCGCCACGCGCUGCCUCAUGGCCCACUCAGAAAUCGUGGUGCAAGGCCUGUCCGGCGAGGAUGUGCUGGCCCGGCCGCAGUGCUUUGCUCAGCUGGAGCUGGCCCGCGCCGGCCUGGAGCAGGAGCUGGAAGCGGGGGUGGGUGGGCGCUUCCGCUUCAGCUGCUACGGCUCGGCUCACAUGCACGGCUUUGCCAUCUGGUUCCAGGUGACCUUCCCCGGAGGGGACUCGGAGAAACCCCUGGUGCUGUCCACCUCGCCUUUUCACCCAGUCACGCACUGGAAGCAGGCACUCCUCUACCUGAACGAGCCUGUGCAAGUGGAGCAAGAUACGGACGUUUCCGGAGAGAUCACGCUGCUGCCCUCCCAGGACAACCACCGUCACCUACGCGUGCUGCUGCGCUACAAAGUGGGCGACCAGGAGGAAAAGACCAAAGACUUUGCCAUGGAGGACUGAGCGUGGCUUUCUCUCCCAGCUACCUCCCGAGGCGGCCAGACCUGCGCGGUAGAGGCGGAGGGGGGUCGGAGGAGAAAGGGAAAUCUCACGUGCAAGUGUUUGACAGUACGAGCAUGGCUGUAUAUGACGAGCAAUGUAUGACACUGGAUACCAGAUGAUCCAAAGGAGCCUAAGCCCUGAAGUGAGGAUUCUUCCAGAAGGAUGAGGUUGUGAGAUGCACCAACAUUCAGGCACUGUCCAAGCUCUGUAUGAACUGGUACUGAUUGCUUAGGGUCAUUUGGGUCACAGGAAGAAACUACCAGCCCUAAGGAGAGAAAAACAUGGUGAAGUCCUACCUGCUUUCCUCAGAGAGCUUACAUUUAUUUAGCACUGUGAAACUUUCCAGAUAUUUUCAUUAACUCACUGGACCAAUGGACAUUUUAUUCGGUAUACGAUAUAAUAGUCAUUGUGAUAAGUGCUUAGGAUAUAAACCAGUAAAACAUAGUUUCUCCUUCAAAUAGGUAUGUUCACAGGAUAAACCAGAAAGUAAAAUAAACAAAAAAUAAUGGGCAAAAGACUGGGUGGUGUAGGUGUUAGGGAGGGCAAGUAAUUAUCUUCACCUUACAUACUAGGAAAAAAGAGUUACACAGAUUUUGAAGGAUUUAGCCUAAGGUUACAUAACUAAUUCUUGACAGUUUAACACAAGUCUUUCGAUUCCUAACCCACAAAAGACCCCUUAGAUUAAGGAAGUCUCCCUGGAGACCUGUCUCACAGGCCUCAAAGAGCCACCACCUUCAGUAUAUAGGAUCUUCACGUUGACAAAUACUAGGCACUCACGAAGCAUUCCCUGUUCCCAUUCCCGUAACAGAGCUAAUCAAAUGUGGCACUUUCUGAGGCUCCCCCAGGGGACUGAAUCCUCAACAUAGUAGCAAAGGUAGACAAACUCUUGUCAUUCUACUUGGUACUUGAUGCUGGACAGCAGAGAGACAUCUGACCAGGCGGUCAUUCAUUUAAUGGUUUAAUAAACACCAACUAACAGUUAAGUAAGCAGAUCCUACUCUCAAAAAACUGGGGUAUGGCGGGGAGUAGAAUUACCUACAUCAAUAACCUGCAUUCAUUCUUUAUACUGGAAAGAUUUCAUUCUAACUAAAUCUUACCCCUGCUGAAGCAAGGAUAGGAAGCCAGCCCUCUUAUCAAUUUCAUUCUUAAAAUUUCGCCCAAGUGCAAAAAUACUCCUUAUCAUCACAUAGAUUAUGAGCUCCUCAGAGAAAAAUUUCUCUAUGGUGUUAGUUCCAAAAAUAAAUCUAUGUCCUCUAUAUAACUGGUUUGUUUCAGCUAACGGACACAAUAUUUUGGGUAGAUGACCCUUCUCACACUGGCUACUAGAAAGUUGAGCCAAAUUUAUAGUUCACUUGCGCUUUUUGUUUUUAGCUUUAUAUCUGGCUUCAUUUCCAUGACCCAGUUUUUUCUUGCUUUGUCCCUCUCAAUAAAUAUUAAUGUUUUGUUGGAAUUUAUGUAUCUUUGUUCUCUUCUAAUACUUUCUGGCAUUAAGAUAUUUUCCUCCUUUUUGGAAUACCUGCAAUAGUUCUGAGGGUGAGGAGGUUGGAGAAAAGGCCAGAGGACCCUGAUGUACGCCCCCUUUAUUUUCUAUGAAAUGUGAUGUCCAAAGUUGUUCAUAUGGAUGGAAAGCUGAUUGGAUCCCAUCCUUUUAGCCAACCUACAGCAUUUUACACUUUGUAGAAUCAAGAUUUCUGAAUGUGUGACAAACUCAGACAUGUAGACAAUCUUGAGGAAACCUUGAAUAUUCUGCAGCUCUUUGUAAGCCUAGAACGGGCUCUAAUUGCAUCUUAAACACAACCGUAGAGUUGUAGAUUGCCAAACCCCUUCCAAAAGCGUGUGAAAAUAGUUUAAGGUGAUGAUAAAGAGGAAGGAAGGACAAAAUGAGACUAUUUCUCAUAUAUCAUAUGCGCUUGUAGGGAAAGAUUUGAAACAAAGCAUCUAAACCUAACAAAACACAAAGAGAAUUUUCAUAAAAAUUAAGAUAUCAACAGUAUCAUUGGAAUUGUGCUCCUUGGAGAGCUUUGAUAAUUAAAUUCAUCAUUAUUGAUAGUAAUAACUUUGGGGAAAGACUGGUGAGAUUUCAGUUGGAUAGCUUUUUAACUCUAAAAACUAUCACUUAGAAGUUUAGAAUACAUAGAUAG